UGCAGAUGAUGAUUAAGAUAUUUGCUAUCUGACUUGCAAUGAUUACAUAUAAACCACCAAGAUCGCUGAUGCA